GAUAACCUAUUUGCUGCCUGGGGAAAUGCAGUGGACAUAAUGGAUGUGGAUUUCAGCUAGGCUUUUGGCAAAGUCCCACAUGACCCGACACGUAUGAGUUCAUUCAGCAGACUGAAGACUCAAAUGAAGAGCUGAUUGAAAUAGGGUUGAAAGUGACUCAGUUCUUCACUCAGAUCAUUGUCUUUGUAGACCUGCAUUUCCUUUUCAAGAUUUGGCAGUCCCUUCCUUAAAGAUAGAAGAUCAAUAAACUCAAGAUAAGGUGGUGCAAUAAUACUGUGAGGCAUCUCCUGUUUGUCUGGAAGAAGAUAUUACCACCAAAGGUGCUGCAUCUCUUAAACCUAGUCCACUAAGAUCAAACAAUCACCCUAGCCUUCUUAAAGAAAAGUUGAGGUCGACUGGAAAAACACCACUGAUAAACCCAGGAUUUCUGCACUAAAGACAGCGUUUGUCAGUGUACUGGACUUGAGAGAGAGAUCAGUUCUUGAUAUCUGCCCACAAUCAACAGGAU